rnacentral:rRNA from 1 species
AUUGAACGCUGGCGGUAGGCCUAACACAUGCAAGUCGAACGCGAAAGUCCUUCGGGAUGAGUAGAGUGGCGGACGGGUGAGUAACGCGUAGGAAUCUAUCCUGUAGUGGGGGAUAACGUUUCGAAAGGAACGCUAAUACCGCAUACGCCCCAAGGGGGAAAGCGGGGGAUCUUCGGACCUCGUGCUAUAGGAGGAGCCUGCGUCGGAUUAGCUAGUUGGUGGGGUAAUGGCUCACCAAGGCGACGACCCGUAACUGGUCUGAGAGGAUGAUCAGUCACACUGGAACUGAGACACGGUCCAGACUCCUACGGGAGGCAGCAGUGGGGAAUAUUGGACAAUGGGCGAAAGCCUGAUCCAGCCAUGCCGCGUGUGUGAAGAAGGUCUUCGGAUUGUAAAGCACUUUAAGUCGGGAGGAAGGGCUGUAGGUUAAUACCCUGCAGUUUUGACGUUACCGACAGAAUAAGCACCGGCUAACUUCGUGCCAGCCGCCGCCGUAACAC